UACGUAGGGUGCAAGCGUUUUUUUUUUUUUUUUUUUAAUCGGAAUACUGGGCGUAAAGCGUGCGCAGGCGGUGAUGUAAGACAGAUGUGAAAUCCCCGGGCUCAACCUGGGAACUGCAUUUGUGACUGCAUUCGCUGGAGUGCGGCAGAGGGGGAUGGAAUUUCCGCGUGUAGCAGUGAAAUGCGUAGAUAUGCGGAGGAACACCGAUGGCGAAGGCAAUCCCCUGGGCCUGCACUGACGCUCAUGCACGAAAGCGUGGGGAGCAAACAGG
rnacentral:rRNA from 1 species